rnacentral:rRNA from 1 species
CCCUUAGAUGUCCUGGGCCGCACGCGCGCUACACUGACAUGUUCAACAAGCCUCCUAGUUCGACAGGAUUUGGGAAAUCUUUGAACGCAUGUCGUGAUAGGGAUAGAUCAUUGCAAUUAUUGAUCUUGAACGAGGAAUUCCUAGUAAACGCGAGUCAUCAGCUCGCAUUGAUUACGUCCCUGCCCUUUGUACACACCGCCCGUCGCACCUACCGAUUGAAUGUUUCGGUGAAGAUUCCGGAUAGGACUUUUUUGAUUUAUUUCAAUUUUGUCCUAAAAGCUAUCUAAACCUCAACAUUUAGAGGAAGGUGAAGUCGUAACA